CCUACGGGGGGCAGCAGUAGGGAAUAUUGCUCAAUGGGGGAAACCCUGAAGCAGCAACGCCGCGUGGAGGAUGAAGGUUUUCGGAUUGUAAACUCCUUUUGUUAGAGAAGAUAAUGACGGUAUCUAACGAAUAAGCCCCGGCUAACUCCGUGCCAGCAGCCGCGGUAAUACGUAGGGUGCAAGCGUUACUCGGAAUCACUGGGCGUAAAGAGCGCGUAGGCGGGAUGGCAAGUCAGGUGUGAAAUCCUAGGGCUUAACCACGGGACUGCACUUGAAACUGCUGGGCUGGAGUGUGGGAGGGGCAGGCGGAAUUCCUGGUGUAGCGGGGAAAUGCGGAGAGAGCAGGAGGAACACCGGUGGCGAAGGCGGCCUGCUGGACUGCAACUGACGUUGAUGACCGAAAGCGUGGGGAGCAAACAGGAUUAGAUACCCUUGUAGUC
rnacentral:rRNA from 1 species